UCGAGCUGUAUGCGGGGAAACUCGCACGUACAGUUCCUAGGGGGCCCCUUUUCCGUAAGGAAAGGGGGCUACCCUAC
rfam:Candidatus Burkholderia verschuerenii strain TZHbot4 BVERctg224, whole genome shotgun sequence.